rnacentral:lncRNA from 1 species
UUUUUCUUCAUAUAUUAUAUAUAUUAGCAUAUUUAAGUGUAGACAGGCAAGGAAAUUUCCGGCAUACAGAUUAUGGGCAGAUACAGAGAUUAAUGGAUGGGUUUUAUUGGGUAAUUUUGCACUGAAAUAAUCAAGGGUUUUAAGGAUAUAUUUAUAUGUAGCAAGCAAGCUAGCUAGCUAGCAAACCCUGCAAAUGCACAUCUGUUUUAUUAUUUAAUUGUAUUUAAAAUAUUUUGUCCAUUACAAUUACAUUUUUAA